GAAAGAUUCAUCGGAAGAGGAUGGGCAUGCGGCGCAUUAGCUUGACGGCGGGGUAACGGCCCACCGUGGCGACGAUGCGUAGGGGUUCUGAGAGGAAGGUCCCCCACACUGGUACUGAGACACGGACCAGACUCCUACGGGAGGCAGCAGUGAGGAAUAUUGGUCAAUGGGAGAGAUCCUGAACCAGCCAAGCCGCGUGAGGGAAGACGGCCCUAUGGGUUGUAAACCUCUUUUGUCGGAGAACAAAACCCGGGACGUGUCCCGGACUGCGUGUAUCCGAAGAAAAAGCAUCGGCUAACUCCGUGCCAGCAGCCGCGGUAAUACGGAGGAUGCGAGCGUUAUCCGGAUUUAUUGGGUUUAAAGGGUGCGUAGGCGGUCUGUUAAGUCAGCGGUAAAAUUGCGGGGCUCAACCCCGUCGAGCCGUUGAAACUGGCAGACUUGAGUUGGCGAGAAGUACGCGGAAUGCGCGGUGUAGCGGUGAAAUACAUAGAUAUCGCGCAGAACUCCGAUUGCGAAGGCAGCGUACCGGCGCCAGACUGACGCUGAGGCACGAAAGCGUGGGGAUCGAACAGGAUUAGAUACCCUGGUAGUCCACGCAGUAAACGAUGAAUGCUGGUUGUCCGGGUCGAAUGAGACCUGG
rnacentral:rRNA from 1 species